AGAGUUUGAUCCUGGCUCAGGAUGAACGCUAGCGACAGGCUUAACACAUGCAAGUCGAGGGGCAGCGGGGGCGAAGCUUGCUUCGCCUGCCGGCGACCGGCGCACGGGUGAGUAACACGUAUGCGACCUGCCCCCCGCAGGGGGAUAACCGGGAGAAAUCCCGACUAAUACCGCGUAACGCCGCUGGGCUGCAUGGCCCCGCGGCCAAAGGAAGCGAUUCCGGCGGGGGAUGGGCAUGCGGCGCAUUAGCUAGUCGGCGGGGUAACGGCCCACCGAGGCGACGAUGCGUAGGGGUUCUGAGAGGAAGGUCCCCCACACUGGUACUGAGACACGGACCAGACUCCUACGGGAGGCAGCAGUGAGGAAUAUUGGUCAAUGGGCGGGAGCCUGAACCAGCCAAGUCGCGUGAGGGAAGACGGUCCUACGGAUUGUAAACCUCUUUUGCCGGGGAGCAACGGGGUCCUUGCGAGGGCCCGAUGAGAGUACCCGGAGAAAAAGCAUCGGCUAACUCCGUGCCAGCAGCCGCGGUAAUACGGAGGAUGCGAGCGUUAUCCGGAUUUAUUGGGUUUAAAGGGUGCGUAGGCGGGCUGUUAAGUCAGCGGUCAAAUGUCGGGGCUCAACCCCGGCCUGCCGUUGAAACUGGCGGCCUCGAGUGGGCGAGAAGUAUGCGGAAUGCGUGGUGUAGCGGUGAAAUGCAUAGAUAUCACGAAGAACUCCGAUUGCGAAGGCAGCAUACCGGCGCCCGACUGACGCUGAGGCACGAAAGCGUGGGUAUCGAACAGGAUUAGAUACCCUGGUAGUCCACGCAGUAAACGAUGAAUGCUAGCUGUCCGGUUUUACGGGACUGGGGUGGCACAGCGAAAGCGUUAAGCAUUCCACCUGGGGAGUACGCCGGCAACGGUGAAACUCAAAGGAAUUGACGGGGGCCCGCACAAGCGGAGGAACAUGUGGUUUAAUUCGAUGAUACGCGAGGAACCUUACCCGGGCUCAAACGCCAAAGGACAGCCGUUGAAAGGCGGCCUCCCUCCGGGGUCUUUGGCGAGGUGCUGCAUGGUUGUCGUCAGCUCGUGCCGUGAGGUGUCGGCUUAAGUGCCAUAACGAGCGCAACCCCCAUCGACAGUUGCUAACGGGUAGAGCCGAGGACUCUGUCGAGACUGCCGGCGCAAGCUGCGAGGAAGGCGGGGAUGACGUCAAAUCAGCACGGCCCUUACGUCCGGGGCGACACACGUGUUACAAUGGCCGGUACAGCGGGAUGCCAGGGUGCGAGUCCGAGCGGAACCCGAAAACCGGUCUCAGUUCGGAUUGGAGUCUGCAACCCGACUCCAUGAAGCUGGAUUCGCUAGUAAUCGCGCAUCAGCCACGGCGCGGUGAAUACGUUCCCGGGCCUUGUACACACCGCCCGUCA
rnacentral:rRNA from 1 species